CCAUGUGGAGGGCAAGUCUGGUGCCAGCAGCCGCGGUAAUUCCAGCUCCAAUAGCGUAUAUUAACGUUGUUGCAGUUAAAAAGCUCGUAGUUGAAGUGUGGGUGAUCGCUGUUGUGAGACUUCGGUCUCUCGACAGUAAGUCACCCCCUUCCAGUAUCCAGUAGUGGGUAUUCACUUACUUACUAUUGUGUGUUGGUCCUUUACUGUGAGAAAAUUAGAGUGUUCAAAGCAGGCGUUUGCUUGAAUAGAUUAGCAUGGAAUAAUAAUUGAAGGCUUUCGUGUUCGAUUUGAUUGGUUUGUUCAUGGAAGCAAGGUUAAAAGGAACAGUUGGGGGUAUUCAUAUUCACUAGUUAGAGGUGAAAUUCUCGGAUUUAUGGAAGAUGAACAAGUGCGAAAGCA
rnacentral:rRNA from 1 species